rnacentral:rRNA from 1 species
GGUUAGUGCCUUUAUAGGUUUGUGUUUCUUUGGUUAUAUUACCUUUUGCCUCAUGAUUUAUCGAUGGUUUUUAUUUAUUAUAAUACUCCGAAGAGUUACGAUUUUUGGUGUACUUGCUUUAAUUAUUUGAGCUAAGCUUUAUACGGGUAGUAUAUUGUUAGAGUAUACCCAGGUAGUGAUAAAUUAUUCGUGUUUCUUUAUAUCUGAUAGGGAAGUUUGGAUUUCUAUUAAAGUUAGCUGUGAUGAUAUGGUUAAUUAAAUAAGAGAAGUAAUUAAUAUUCUAAGUUCUGGGUUUAAAGGUCUCCUUGAUUUGUUAGUUUGUUAUAAAAAUUAGUUAUGUGUAAUAUUUAUUCUUUAUUUUAAUCCUUCUCUGAUUUUAAUCUUUUUUUCUAUGAUAAAAUAAGUAAAAUUUAAUUAGUUUCUUUUUUUCUCGAUGGAUGUCGGUCUGUUUAUUAAAAACAUUUCCAUUUCUAAGUUUAAAUGGUAUUUACCUGCCCAAUGUUGUUUAUUAAUGGCCGCAGUAUAUUGACUGUGCGAAGGUAGCAUAAUUAGUUGCCUCAUAAUUGGAGGAUUGUUUGAAUGGUUUGACUAGAUAUUUAUUAAGAUGGGAGCUUGUUUUGAAAUUGAUUUUAAGGUGCAGAAUCCUUGAUUUUAUAAUUAGACGGAAAGACCCCGAGAUCUUUAUACUUUUUUAGUAUUUAUUUGGGGUAAAGGUAAAUUAUUUAUUUAUUUUUAGAUCCUUAAUUAAUUAGGGUUAUAGGUUUAGUUACCUCGGGGAUAACUGUGUAAGAAGUAAUUAGAGACCAUAUCGAUUUAUUUAUUUGCCACCUCGAUGUUGACUUGAGGAUUUGCUCAGGCGCAGUAGUUUGUGUAAAAGGUCUGUUCGACCUUUAAUUCCUCUCAUGAGUUGAGUUAAGACCGGCGUGAGCCAGGUCGGUUCUUAUCUAUUUGUCAAUUUAUUUAGUACGAAAGGAAUAAUAUUUUUUUAGGUU